GCCCAAGUGGCGGAAUGGUAGACGCAGGGGAUUCAAAAUCCCCCGCCUUCACGGGCGUGCCGGUUCGAGUCCGGCCUUGGGUACCA
rnacentral:tRNA from 1 species